GUGGGGAAUCUUCCGCAAUGGACGAAAGUCUGACGGAGCAACGCCGCGUGAACGAUGACGGCCUUCGGGUUGUAAAGUUCUGUUAUACGGGACGAAUGGUGCGACGGCCAAUACCCGUCGUAAGUGACGGUACCGUAAGAGAAAGCCACGGCUAACUACGUGCCAGCAGCCGCGGUAAUACGUAGGUGGCAAGCGUUGUCCGGAAUUAUUGGGCGUAAAGGGCGCGCAGGCGGCGUCGUAAGUCGGUCUUAAAAGUGCGGGGCUUAACCCAGUGAGGGGACCGAAACUGCGAUGCUAGAGUAUCGGAGAGGAAAGCGGAAUUCCUAGUGUAGCGGUGAAAUGCGUAGAUAUUAGGAGGAACACCAGUGGCGAAAGCGGCUUUCUGGACGACAACUGACGCUGAGGCGCGAAAGCCAGGGUAGCGAACGGGAUUAGAUACCCCAGUAGUCC
rnacentral:rRNA from 1 species